CGUCCGCCGCUCACCCGCUGCAGGUUCUCUGGCCGCUCCCUCGCCCGCCCGGUCAGUCCCCACCUGCCCUCUCUCAGGCCCCCACUCACUCAUUCAUCCAUUUAUUCUCACUCUCACCCUCUGGUGCGCUCGCUCGCUCACUUCCUCGUUCGUCCGCCCGCUGGUCCAUCCGCUCGUUCGUUCACCGACUCGCUCACCCGCUCACUCAGCCACCUGGGCAUUCAGUCGUUCACUCACUCACUCAGGUCUCCGGACUGCCCCCUGGAGGCCGGGCGGGCCUGUGCAUUGGUACCCUCCCCUAUCUGGAGGACGGACCGGCCACCGGAGUGGAGCGAGUGUCCCACCUUCCAGAAGAAGACUGUGGGAGGGCCGCACAAGAGCACUCCCCCGGCCCUGGCCGGGUGAAGGGAUCCCGGGAUGCGGAGAGCCUCAGCUGAAGCUGGAGGAAUGAGGAAUUCGGCAGGAGAAAGGAGCGGAUACCCACAGACCCCGAGGCAUCGCACAGCUGCAAACGCUGUGGUCUUCCUGGAGCUAAAAGCGGAGGCCGAAGAGGAAGCUGGAGCGACUGGUAUACCGGGCUCCGUUAGGGAGGGCCUUGUUCCCAAGGAAAAGGAGAACUCGGGUAAGCGAACUGACAGAACUUGGGACGCAGAACACUGAAGCUGGGACUCCUGUGCAGGCGGACGUGCAGAAAGGGGCUCUACUGAUCAUCCUACUGAUGCCAGCACCUCCAACUCCUACUAAAGACCUUUCCAGAGAGUCACUAAAAUGCCCCGGGGAGGAUACCCUCCUCGAGGUUAUUAAUAAUCGUGCACGUGUUUGUGAGCACAGGCUCGAUCACACUGUAGUAACAAUCUCAAGUCUCAGAGGCCAGAAACAACAAAGGGGUUGCAUUCACCAUCAACCCUCAGAAACCCAGGGUGAGAGGGCGGCCACCACUUUGAAUUUCUGCCCUCCUGACAAAGGGAAAGCACUCGGAGCGUUUAGCUGCUCUGGCUCAGAAUCACCACAAGGCUUCUACUCACGACUCGUUGGCCAGAACUAGUCAUGGCUGUGCCCAACCACAAGUGGAACACUUUACCAUGCCCUUGGAAAGAGAGCCAGCCAGAAACGUCUGAUGAACAGCAGUAAAUGCUAACCACACUAACCAAGCGAACAUUUACUGAACAUGCCUAUUAUGUACUGAGCACUCUUACAUAUGCCUUUUACGUAGAAACACAUGACUCCUCACAGUAAAUCUAGAAAAUAGUA